rnacentral:rRNA from 1 species
UACGAAGGGGGGCUAGCGUUGCUCGGAAUUACUGGGCGUAAAGGGAGCGUAGGCGGACAUUUAAGUCAGGGGUGAAAUCCCAGAGCUCAACUCUGGAACUGCCUUUGAUACUGGAUGUCUUGAGUGUGAGAGAGGUAUGUGGAACUCCGAGUGUAGAGGUGAAAUUCGUAGAUAUUCGGAAGAACACCAGUGGCGAAGGCGACAUACUGGCUCAUUACUGACGCUGAGGCUCGAAAGCGUGGGGAGCAAACAGG